GAUGAACGCUGGCGGCGUGCUUAACACAUGCAAGUCGAGCGAAGCGCUUAAGUUUGAUUCUUCGGAUGAAGACUUUUGUGACUGAGCGGCGGACGGGUGAGUAACGCGUGGGUAACCUGCCUCAUACAGGGGGAUAACAGUUAGAAAUGACUGCUAAUACCGCAUAAGACCACGGUACCGCAUGGUACAGUGGUAAAAACUCCGGUGGUAUGAGAUGGACCCGCGUCUGAUUAGGUAGUUGGUGGGGUAACGGCCUACCAAGCCGACGAUCAGUAGCCGACCUGAGAGGGUGACCGGCCACAUUGGGACUGAGACACGGCCCAGACUCCUACGGGAGGCAGCAGUGGGGAAUAUUGCACAAUGGAGGAAACUCUGAUGCAGCGACGCCGCGUGAAGGAUGAAGUAUUUCGGUAUGUAAACUUCUAUCAGCAGGGAAGAAAAUGACGGUACCUGACUAAGAAGCCCCGGCUAACUACGUGCCAGCAGCCGCCGUAACAC
rnacentral:rRNA from 1 species